CACAAGCACAGGAAAAUAAAGCCCCAAACUUUAACUUUCUGCUUCUCAUUGGCAGGUUUUGUCUGGACAGUUCCCAGGAAGCAAGGCUUCAGCUCUCACAGCAGUGGCUCCAGAAGCGAAAUGUUGUAAACAAAAAACGCCCUCACUUCCAACUCCUUUUGGCUUUUGUGUCCAAGCUGAUGAUACAUGGUCAAUGUGGGUCCACUGUCCUAUUAGCGUCCCCUGCUGUGAUCCUGCCAAGUGCCAGCCUGCUGCCUCAGGCUGGGGUGCUGAGAGACAGCGCUGGUGCUGAGCCAGCCCUGCUCUGCAGCAGCCACAACUCUGGGCUGUUACCAACUCCCUUCCAGCUCCUGGGGCAAAGCACAGCCCUGGGAGGGCUGCCUGGGGAAAAUGAGCUCCAGCUCAGCCAGACCCAAUAUAAUCAUCUGGAUGAUUCAUCUGGGAUUCUCAGCAUAGGGAGAACAUUAGGACCAUUGAGAGAAGGAAAGCUGAAUUGCUCUGAAUGACUGACACAGGCUUUAUUCUGCUAUGGCUGCUGUGGAGGAUGCUGGAUCAGAAAAGUGGUGUGUCGGGUACCAGCAGCAAGUUUUGGGAACCAUCCAAGCCCUAUUUGAGGACCUGGAAUAUAACGGAUUAUUUGAUGCCAGGCAGCUCUGUCUCCACAGCAGCAGCAUCUGAGGAGAGCAGCAAUCCUGGUGGCUUGGUAUGACAGCAGUGGCCCACCAACUCUGAGAUUUCUAUGAGGAUUACAGAAGACUGGACUGGCUGGACUAAAGCAGAGUUCCAAAAUGUCACCUGGCCAGGAGUUGCAUUGUCCCCUGACUUCCCAUGUUGCUCUGUACCUUGGCAAAUGAGGACUAUAUCUUUUCCACUGUCUUCUAACUUCUCAGGAGCACAAAGGCUCAGAGGCAGAGCCUGCCAGAGCAGGAAGUGUGGCUCAUCAAAGCUUGAAAAGCUGCAGCUCUCUGACCUGUGUGUCAAUACUCUGACAUGGUCUGUGCCUCACAAACUAGGGAAAUUAGAGGUGAGUGAUCACACAGUUCCUUCUUCCAAACUGGUGUUCCACCAAGUGGCCUGGAAGUACCACUCUAUCCAUCGCUUAGCAUCCCUUAGUCCCUUAUCGUGACUAGACAUGCAUCUUUAAAUGGUCCCUGUUUUUUGAAUAUGGGCCUGCAUGGCUGGUUCUAGUGUGUUAAGAUAUA
rnacentral:lncRNA from 1 species